rnacentral:rRNA from 1 species
AUUGAACGCUGGCGGCAGGCCUAACCCAUGCAAUUCGAACGAGUGGCGGACGGGUGAGUAAUUUCUGGGAAAAUGCCCGUUGGAGGGGGAUAACUACUGGAAACAGUAGCUAUUACCGCAUACACUCGGAUGUGCCCAGAUGGGAUUAGCUAGUAGGUGGGGUAACGGUUCACCUAGGCGCCGAUCCCUAGCUGGUCUGAGAGGAUGACCAGCCACACGGGAACGGAGACACGGUCCAGACUCCUACGGGAGGCAGCAGUGGGGAAUAUUGCACAAUGGGCGCAAGCCUGAUGCAGCCAUGCCGCGUGUAUGAAGAAGGCCUUCGGGUUGUAAAGUACUUUCAGCGGGGAGGCGUUACUCGCAGAAGAAGCACCGGCUAACUCCGUGCCAGCAGCCGCGGUAAUUC